rnacentral:lncRNA from 10 species
GCUGUAUGUCACCUUCUCUAAGUACCCAGGAGCAGCAAGAAACACUGAAUUUUGGAGUCUUAUCUGGAAAAGACUUGGAAUUGUAAUCCCCCACUUACUGACUGUAAGAGCCUUGGAUCUGUUCCUGAAAACAUGGUGUUCAAGUUGAACAUAUGAAAACAGAACUUCUUUCUUCUUCAAUGGAAGUGACACCUAACAAUUUGGAUUUAGAUUUCUCUGCCUCUUACAUCUACUGCUUGAUAAUGUAGAAACCAACAUUCAAAUCCAGGGAAGCAAAUCCUUUUUUAAAAGAUUUGAUUAAAUUAUCUGAGGAUAAAUUGUGCCUUGUUUUUUAUUUUUAACUAUAUUUUUGAGAGGGAGCUUCACAAACUCUUUAUUAUUCCCUUAAGAUCCAACUUUUGGUUCUUAUGACAUCAGUUUCAGAUGAGGACGCACAAGUCACUGUUCCCAUUACUAUAUUGGGAGGGUGGGGUUCUGAAAAUGUGCAAUGUGAGUGGUGAGUCUUUGCUGGAAGGGUACUAUCUUCUCAUCUACCAAAGGGAAGGUGAGUAGAAAAUUCCUAAAACUAAAAAAUCAAGAAGUGGCAGUAUCUAUUUGUUAUUUAAAAAUAUCAAGGUUAAUAGCAAAUAAAUCUACUAAAUUGAAUUUAAAAUGAUGACCUACAUCAAGAAAUACCAUAAGUCAAGUAAAAAGAUCAGUGACAAAAUGGGAAAAAAUAUUUGCAACUUAAAUGUCAGACAAAGGUUAAUUUCCAUGGUAUAUAAAGUUUCUCAAAAAGGAUAAUUAAAAAGGUCAGCAAUCACAGAAGAAUCAGCUAGAGAUAUCAAUAAUUAUUAGAAAAAGAAAUGCAAAUGGCCCUUAACAUUAUGAAAAGAUGUCCAACCUCACUUAAAAGGCAUUCAAAUCAAAGCUAAACUGAGAUACUAUUUUAGACUUAUCAAAUUGGCAAAAAUCCAAAAUUUAAGAAUACUCUGUUGGCAAGACUGGGAAAACAGACACUCUCAUGCAUUCCCAGUCAUAAUGCAAAUUGGUUCAAUCCCUACAGAGGAUAAUUUGGCAAUAUAUAGCAGAAUUGUUUAUGCAUAUACCCUUAACCCAGGAAUCUCACUUCUAGGCGCCUAACACAAAGAUUAUACUAGUGAAAUAUGAAAAGAUACACACACACACACACACACACACACAAAAAAAACAUACAUACAUAUAUAUCUUUAUACAUAGAUCUAUUUAUCUAUGUAUAGAAAGAGGCAAUUUAUUAUAGCACUAUUUGUAAUAGCAAGACUGGAUACAAUCAGAAUGCCUGUCAAAGGUGACUGGAUGAAUAAAGUAUGGUACUUCCAUACACUGGAGUAUUAAAAAAACUGCAAAAAGGAAAGAGAAACAUCUCUGAAUUCUCCCAUGAAGUAGUCUGCAGGAUAUGUUAAAUGAAAAAAAGAAUUACAAAAAAUAUACAGUAUGCCACUUACAUCAAAAAUGUCUUGCCAUGCCAGAAAGCAAUAGAGCUAUCAAAGAAUGCUAAGACUUUAUAGAAAGGACUCAGGAUAAAAUGGCACAGCCAAUUUUGAAAAAGUUUGGCAGUUCCUCAAAAACGUGAACAGAGUUAUCGUAUAACCCAGCAAUUUCAUUCCUAAGUAUAUACCCCCAAAAUUAACAACGUAUGUCCACACAAAAACUUGCACAUGAAUGUUCACUAGCAGCAUUAUUUGUAACCUGCCCAAGGUGGAAACAACCCAAAUGUCUAUUGACUGAUAAAAGAUAAAAUGUGGUAUAUCCAUACAAGGGAAUAUUAUUUAUCCAUAGAUAGGAAGUACUGCUACAUGUUAAAAUAUGGAUGAACCUUGAAAACACUCUGCUAAGUGAAAGAAGCCAGUCACAAAAGGCCACAUAUUAUAUGAUUUCAUUUGCAUGAAACGCCCAGAACAGGAAAAUCUGUAGAGACAGAAAGUAGAUUGGUAGUUGUCAGGAGCUGGGAGUGGGAGGGGGAAUGGGUAGCGACUGCUAAUGGGUAUGUGGUUUCUUCUUCGGGUAAGGCAGUUAUCCUGAAAUUAGAUGGUGGUGAUAGUUGCACAACUUUUUGAAUAUACUAAAAACCAUUGGCCGGGCGUGAUGACUCCCCCGCAAACAAACAAACAAACAAAAAAACCCAUUGAACUGUACAAUUUAAAAUGGUGACUUUUAUGGUAUAUUGAAUUGUUUCUCAAUUAAAAAGGCAUAUACAUUAGGGCUGGGCAUGGUGGCUCAUGCCUGUAAUCCCAGCACUCUAGGGGGCUGAGGCAGGAAGACAACUUGAGUUCAGGAGCUCGAGACCAGCCUGGCCAAUACGGUGAAAUCCUAUCUCUACUAAAAAUACAAAAAUUAGCGGGGGCAUGGUGGUGGGCACCUGUAAUCUCAGGUACUCAGGAGGCUGAGGCAGGAGAAUCGCUUGAACCCAGGAGGUGGAGGGUGCAGUGAGCCGAGAUCAUGCCAGUGCACUCCAGCCUGGGAGACAGAGCGAGACUGUCUCAAAAAAAAAAAAAGAUAUAUACACUAAAUUUUUAAAGAAAAUAUUCAUUGAUAAACAAAAAACAACACAAAAGGACUAAGGUACCAACAUAAAUCAGCUCCAUUUGCCAAAGUCGGGACAAUUUGAGCAUCAAAGUAGUAACUAUAAGUGACUCAAACAUAUAAAAUAUGUUUAAAUCCAUGAUUUGGCCAGGCGUGGUGACUCAUGCCUGUAAUCCUAGCACUUUGGGAGGCAGAGGCGGGUGGAUCACGAGGUCAGGAGUUCAAGACCAGCCUGGCCAAGAUGGUGAAACUCCAUCUCUACUAAAAAUACAAAAAAAAUUAGCCGGGCAUGGUGGCACACACCUGUAAUCCCAGCUACUCCGGAGGCUGAGGCAGAGAAUUGCUUAAACCUGGAAGGGCGGAGGUUGCAGUGAGCCGAGAUCGUGCCACUGCACUCCAGCCUGGGCAACAGAGCAAGACUCUGUCUCAAAAAAAAAAAAAAAUCCAUGAUUUGAAGAAUUCCAGAAAACAAAUUUAUUAUCUUGAAAACUAUUAAUAAUAGAAAAAGAAGCAUUUAUUCUGUCUUUUCUGUACAAACUAUGCCUAAGGAUAACCAAAUAGUUAAUGAGAGAAGAUUCUCUUUACAGAAUUAUUUAAAGUAAUAAACAAUGAAGCAAUAAUAGAAUAUGAUCAUUUUGCAAUUCUGAUGAAUUAUUGGAUCUGUGCAAUAAUUAACAAUGGCUGAUAACAUCACAGAAAGAGAGACAAUCACACAUUACAUAUGAUGCACCCAAUAACACCUAUGAAACACUCUUGCUAAAAAACUAAACUAAACAAAUCUAACCAGAAUCUAAUCAGGCAUCAGCAAACAAAGAAACUUGUUAAACAACUUAACAGGGAUGCAAUUUUGAAAACAUACAUCAUGGGAAAUUCUACAAAACAAUCUGGUUUCUUCAACAACAACACUGCAAGGAACAAAGCAUACAAAGGGAUGGCAGUGUAAUCUACAAAUCACAGACCUAAGAGACACAUUAAACAAUGCCAGUGCAUGAACCUUAUUUGAAUCUGGAUUCAAACAAAUAAACCACUAAAAAUUUAAAGACAAUAAAACAUUGUUUUUAGACAAUUAAGAAUUUAUGAACACUGACAAAAUAUGUGAUAAUGUUAAUGAAUUAUUAAUAGUUUUAGAGAUUGUGAUGGUUAAUUUUAUGUAUCAACUUGACUGGGCCAUGGGGGUCCAGAUAUUUGGUCAAACAUUAUUCUGAGUAUGUUUGUUAAACAUUAUUCUGGGUGUGUUUUUGGAUGAGGUUAACAGUUAAAUCAAUAAACUGAAUAAGGUGGAUUGCUCUUCUUUGAUGCAGGUGGGCCUCAUCCCAUCAGUAAAGGCCUGAAUAGAACAAACAGGCAGAUCCUCCCUUGAAUAAAAGGGAACUCUUUGUGCCUUACUGCUUACACUGGGAAAUGUUGUUUUCCCAUCUUGAAGCCCCAGUUGGAAAAUCUGUUCUCCUUGAGUCUCAAGCCUGCUGGCUUUCAGACAGGAACUGACACCAUUAGCUCUCCUGGUUCUCAAGCUUUCAGACUCAGACUGGAACUAUACUUUGCCUCUCCUUGGUCUCCAGCUUGCCAAUUGUAGAUUUUGGGAUGUCUCAGCCUCUAUAAAUUAUGUACCUAAUUUCUUAUAACAAAUCUCCUCUCUCUCUUUCUUUACACACACACACACACACACACACACACACACACACACACACACACAAAUCUCCUAUUGGUUCUAUUUCUCUGGAGAACCCUGACUAAUACAGGGAUGGUAAGGUGUUAUAGUUAUAGUUAAGAGUCCUUAUCCUUUAGAAAUACAUAUAUGAAAUACUUACAGAUAAAAUGAUAUGAUGUCUGACAUUUGCUUCAAAAUAAUCUUAGGAUGGAAGGAAAUGGAUAAAGAUUUAGAUGAAACAGACUGGCUAUCUGUUGGUAAUUGUUAAAGCUGGGUGAUGGAAGCAUGGGGUUUCCUCAUGCUAUUCUCUCUGCUUUUGUAUAUGGAUACAGUUUUCUUUAGUGAAAAAGUAAAAAAUGGAAGAAAACGAAAAAUAGGAAAUUGAAAAAUAUUAGUAGUAUGGGGAAUUACUUUUUCUCAUAACCACUACUGUAGAAUAAUUUGACUCUUUAUAAUAUGUGUGUGUGUAAAACUAAGUAUCUUUUAAAAAUUAAAAAGUGAAGAGAACCUACCAUAAAUAUAAUAUGUAAUGGUGAAACUUUAGAUGCAUUCUCAUUAAAGGUAGAAACAUCAACGAUUCCUGCUCUUUGACAUUGUACUGGAGUCUUAGCCUUUGCAAUAAGACAAGAAAAAGAAGAGCUAAAUAGAAUAGGAGAAAAAAAUUAUUGUUGUUUGCAGACAAUACUGUAUGUAUAGAUAAUCCAAAAUUAUUUACAAACUGCAGGAAAACUGCUGGAUAUAAGAGCAAGACACAAAAAUCAAUAUUGUUCCCAUAUAUUGGGAAUAACCAAUAGUAAUUAGAAAAUGUGGUAUAACAAAAUUAUAUACACAAUGGCAACAGAAACUGUAAGGUACAUAGAAAUAAAUCUAUCAAAAGGUGGGAAGACAUUUUUGAAGAAAAUUAUAAAACAUUAUUGAAGGACAUAAGAAUAGACCUGAAUGAAAUCAUAAAUAUAUCAAUUAUUUCCCAAAUUAAUCUCUAAAGUCAAUGCCUCAAACCAGAAACUCAAUAACAGAACUUUUUUGGAACCCAAUAAACUGAUACCAAAUUUCACCAUUUCAAAAUUUUGAGAAACAUUUUAAAAAUAAGAACAAAGGGAGGCUUGUUUUUACCAAGAAUUAAGGCUCAUUAGAAAGCUGUUGUACCUAAAAUAGUGAAAUAUUGGGAUAGGGAUAGAAAAAUAAAUUAAUAGAAUAGGCCAGAGAUUCCAGAAAUAGCCUCAUAUAAAAUUUGAAAUAAUGUAUUAUACAGAUGAUAGUUGAGAAAUGAUGGACAAUUCAAUAAAUGGAGUAAUUGGCUUGCCCUGCUGGGGAAAAAAUGAAGUUAGAUUCUUACUCAACACAUAAUAGAAAAAUAAAUUCCAGUUGGAUUAAAGCUCUAAAUAUGAAAAACAAAAGUUAAAUUUGUUAGAAGAACAUACAGGGGGAAAUAUUUCUAUUCUCAAGGUACAGAACACAAGACACAAAAAGCCAAAAUAAUAAAAGGAGGAAUUGAUUGCAUCAUAAUUUAAAUUUUCUGUGUAACAAAAGACCCCAUCCAAAGCAAAAAGAUAGUGACAGAUUAGAGAAGAUAUUUUCAACAUAUCAGAAUAUAUACAGGUCCUACAAUUUGAUAAGAAAAACAAUCUAAUAAAAAGUUGAGCAGAAGAUAUGAAUGAUUUACAGAAGAGAAAAUCCAAACAACAAAUAAAUACAAGGAAAGAUACUCAAAAUACUCAGUAAUCAGAGAAAUAAAAAAGCAAAAUGAGAUGCUAUUUUUACACCUACCAGAUUGAUAAAAAUUAAAAAGUCUGAAUAUGAAGAUGUUGGGAAACUAAAAUGCAGCUUGUUGGACAACUAAUUUAAUACAACUAAUUUAGAGAUAAAAUUCAGGAUAUGGUCCUAUUUAGUUGAAAACUCAUACAUUAUAUGACACAGCAAUACUUAUACUCAGCAUAUACUUCUAGAUAUACACCUGGGAGAAAUUCUGACACAUGAACACAAAGAGACAUAUGAGAACAUUCACUGUAGCACUUUAAAAUAAAAAUAAAUGGGGGAAAAGCUGGAAAUAAAUUAUAAAAGUUGAAUAAAUUUCUGGUGAACAAAAUGUGCCAUAUCCAUAUGCUUAAAUACUAUGCAGUAGUUAAAAAUGAAUGAACUAGAUCUAGCCUAUGUAUCAGCAUAGACAGAUGUCAAAAAUAAUGUAGAAUUUAUUUAUUUAUUUAUUUUUGGAGACAAAGUUUCAUUCUUGUCAUCCAGGCUGGAGUGCAAUGGUGGGAUCUCAGCUCACUGCAACCUUCUUCUCUUGGGUUCAAGUGAUUCUCCUGCCUCAGCCUCCCAAGCAGCUGGGAUUACAGGUGCCCACCACCACGCCCAACUAAUUUUUGUAUUUUUAGUAGAGAUGGGGUUUCACCAUGUUGGCCAGGCUGGUCUCGAACUCCCGACCUCAGGUGAUCCGCCCACCUCGGCCUCCCAAAGUGCUGGGAUUACAGACGUGAGCCACCAUGCCCCACCAUAAUGUAGAGUUUAAAAAGCAAUUUCCAGAAUAGUACAAUGUAUCAAUUAUUGAGAGUAAGAGAAUGGGGACAAGCAUAGACAGCUGUUUUGAGAAGUUCUGCUGUGAAAUGGUAGGGAUUGUAAUAGCUGGAAGUGGGAGUAUAGUGGCUAAGGAGAGUUAUAAUUAUUUUUUUAAAUAAAUAUUACUACAGCUUGUUUGCAAAUGGGUGGGAAUGAUCUGGUAGACAGAAUGAAAAUCAUAAAGAGCAAAAUCCUUGGGAAGGUGGAAGCUUGGGCUCCAAAGCACAGAAGGAGGAUGCUACUAUAUUUUAGGCAGCUAAAUGGUAAGUGGUCAUGGGAUGGAAUGAAGGCGCUGAAUUUGUAGGCUGUUGAGGAGGUAGAACCUUCAAGAAGUAAUGCUAAUUGGAUGUCUGGUGACAUUAUAAAGGGGAGUCUGGUUAAAAGGCAGGACAAAGGACUUCUCUCCUGUCACAGACUCUGCC